GACGAACGCUGGCGGCGUGCUUAACACAUGCAAGUCGUACGGUAAGGCCCUUUCGGGGGUACACGAGUGGCGAACGGGUGAGUAACACGUGAGUAACCUGCCCACAACUUUGGGAUAACGCUAGGAAACUGGUGCUAAUACUGGAUAUGUGCUCCUGCUGCAUGGUGGGGGUUGGAAAGCUCCGGCGGUUGUGGAUGGACUCGCGGCCUAUCAGCUUGUUGGUGGGGUAGUGGCCUACCAAGGCGGCGACGGGUAGCCGGCCUGAGAGGGUGACCGGCCACAUUGGGACUGAGAUACGGCCCAGACUCCGACGGGAGGCAGCAGGGGGGAAUAUUGCACAAUGGGCGCAAGCCUGAUGCAGCAACGCCGCGGGCGGGAGGACGGCCUUCGGGUUGUAAACCGCUUUCAGCAGGGACGAAGCUUUUUGUGACGGUACCUGCAGAAGAAGCACCGGCUAACUACGUG
rnacentral:rRNA from 1 species